rnacentral:tRNA from 1 species
GGGGUGUUAGCUCAGCUGAUAGAGCGCUGCAUUCGCAUUGCAGAGGUCAGGAGUUUGAAUCUCCUACACUCCACCA